rnacentral:rRNA from 1 species
AUUGAACGCUAGCGGCAUGCCUUACACAUGCAAGUCGAACGAGUGGCGGACGGGUGAGUAAUAUAUCGGAACGUGCCCAGUAGCGGGGGAUAACUACUCGAAAGCGUGGCUAAUACCGCAUACUAUUGUAUCGGCCGAUAUGGGAUUAGCUCGUUGGUGGGUUAAAGGCUACCCAAGGCAACGAUCCGUAUCUGGUUUGAGAGGGUGACUAGCCACACUGGGACUGAGACACGGCCCAGACUCCUACGGGAGGCAGCAGUGGGGAAUUUUGGACAAUGGGGGAAACCCUGAUCCAGCCAUGCCGCGUGUAUGAGAAGGCCUUCGGGUUGUAAAGUACUUUUGGCAGAGAAGCGGUAUCUGCAGAAUAAGCACCGGCUAACUACGUGCCAGCCGCCGCGGUAAUAC